UACGAACUGUGCGAACGUUAUUCGGAAUCACUGGGCUUAAAGGGUGCGUAGGCGGUUAUCUAAGUCAGGUGUGAAAUCUCUCGGCUCAACCGGGAAACUGCGCUUGAAACUGGGUGACUUGAGGGAUGCAGGGGUGUGUGGAACUUCCGGUGGAGCGGUGAAAUGUGUAGAUAUCGGAAGGAACGCCAGCAGCGAAAGCGGCACACUGGGCAUCUACUGACGCUGAGGCACGAAAGCUAGGGGAGUGAAC
rnacentral:rRNA from 1 species